CCUACGGGUGGCAGCAGUCGAGAAUCAUUCACAAUGGGGGAAACCCUGAUGGUGCGACGCCGCGUGGGGGAAGAAGGUACAGCGUAUCGUAAACCUCUUUUGUCAGGGAACAAAGGCGGGGACUAGUCCCCGGAUGAGGGUACCUGAAGAAAAAGCAUCGGCUAACUCCGUGCCAGCAGCCGCGGUAAUACGGAGGAUGCGAGCGUUAUCCGGAUUUAUUGGGUUUAAAGGGUGCGCAGGCGGCCUGUUAAGUCAGCGGUAAAAGCCCGGGGCUCAACCCCGGCGAGCCGUUGAAACUGGCGGGCUGGAGUUGGAGAGAAGUACGCGGAAUGCGCGGUGUAGCGGUGAAAUGCUUAGAUAUCGCGCAGAACCCCGAUUGCGAAGGCAGCGUACCGGCUCCACACUGACGCUGAGGCACGAAAGCGUGGGUAUCGAACAGGAUUAGAUACCCUAGUAGUC
rnacentral:rRNA from 1 species